UUAGUAAGUGCAAAUGGGCGCAAGCCUGAUGCAGCCAUGCCGCGUGUAUGAAGAAGGCCUUCGGGUUGUAAAGUACUUUCAGCGGGGAGGAAGGGAGUAAAGUUAAUACCUUUGCUCAUUGACGUUACCCGCAGAAGAAGCACCGGCUAACUCCGUGCCAGAGACCGCGGUAACCCGUA
rnacentral:rRNA from 1 species